rnacentral:piRNA from 1 species
UGGCAAGAAGAACUGGUUUGCUUUUGGGUC